rnacentral:lncRNA from 1 species
GGUGUCCGCAGGCUUCUGCCUGGCCGUCGCCGCCUAUAAGCUACCAGGAGGAGCUUUACGACUUCCCGGCCUGCGGGAAGUGGCGGGCACGAUCGCAAGGUAGCGCAGAAGCUUCUCAAUGGCCAGCGCCAGCUGCAGCCCCUGCGGCGCACUCGCCUCACCUGAGCCUGGGAGGAAAAUUCUUCCAAGGAUGAUCUCCCACUCAGAGCUGAGGAAGCUUUUCUACUCAGCAGAUGCUGUGUGUUUUGAUGUUGACAGCACGGUCAUCAGUGAAGAAGGAAUCGGAUGCUUUCAUUGGAUUUGGAGGAAAUGUGAUCAGGCAACAAGUCAAGGAUAACGCCAAAUGGUAUAUCACUGAUUUUGUAGAGCUGCUGGGAGAACCGAAAGAAUAACAUCCAUUGUCAUACGGCUCCAAACAACUUCAGAUGAAUUUUUACAAGUUACACAGAUUGAUACUGUUUGCUUACAAUUGCCUAUUACAACUUGAUAUAGAAAGUUGGUACAGAUGAUCUGCACUGUCAAGUAAACUACAGUUAGGACUCCUCAAAGAUUGGUUUGUUUGUUUGUUUUUAACUGUAGUUCCAGUAUUAUAUGAUGACUAUUGAUUUCCUAGAGAGUUUUGUAAUCUGAAUUCUUUAUGUAUAUUCCUAGCUAUAUUUCAUACAAAGUGUUUUAAGAGUGGAGAGUCAAUUAAACACCUUUACUCUUAGGAAUAUAGAUUCGGCAGCCUUCAAUGAAUAUUGGUUUUUUUCCCUUUGGUAUGUCAAUAAAAGUUUAUCCAUGUGUCAGAACAGAUUUGUGGAAUUUGCAGUUCUGCCUCUCGGAUAUUGGAAUAUCCAAUAUUUCAGGAUGCUUGCUCUUUGAACUCAGCCACCAUGCUGUGAGGAAGCCCAGAUCACAAGGAGAGGCCACAUUUUGAUGUUCCAGUCAACAGUCCCAGCACAGGUUUCAGAUGACAGCCAACAUCAGUUGCCGGACAUGAGACUGAAGAAGGCUUUGUGAAGACUCCAGCCCCAGCCACUGCAACAGCAUGAGAGACCCCAAGUGAAAAUCACCUGCCUGAAC